AGGGACAGGUGGGCACAGGCAGCAAAGAAAAGCGAGUUAUGGCAGUCUAACGAGGAAAGCGGGCAGAAGAGCCCACUGGACGAGGAUAAGAACUACAAAAGUAAUCGGAGGCCAAUCCGUGCACGGGAGAACAAUCCCCCCGCCCCUCGGUAGAGCAUGCAGCAAGUAACGACCAGGAGAGCCUUGAGUCAUUAAAAGAAAGGGAAUGGUGGAAGCCCUAACCAGAACUAAGAACAAAAAUAGCAAAAGUUAAGAAGAAAUGGCAAUUUCUCGAUUUCCCUGGUGCUUUAUAAUGAGCUUUCAGUUCAUUGCUUCUCAGCACCGACCAGGGAGGACUGCUUCACAUGAGCCUCAGCAGAGGUUGAGGACAAAUGAAGACCCCAGGCUUGGUGGCCUCCUGAACCUUCGGAGCAUCCUCAGCAGGGACGAGUCGAUGUGCACACACUCUGAAUGUUCUCCUCCCCGAAGGUCUAUCGUCCAGGCCUGUGCCUUCCUCACGAGUUUCCUUCCAGUCAGAUGAAAGGAAGAAGGCAAAUCUAUCUGCUCCCUUCAAGAUGUCAAGGGCAAGGGCUUCUAGCAUCUCCUGGAAGGCAUUUCUUGACCACUGUCAGGAGGGUUUCCCUGCCCCUGGUCUGUUGCAGUUCAUAGGCUCCCAAGUCUCAGAAUAAUGGAGGACAGGCAGGUGGGGUAUCAGCCCCACAGAGACCCAUCCCCUGAGAAUAAGACAACCCAAAUGCGUAGGGGCUCAGGAGUGGGCGUGUUUCAAGAGGUCCAGGGUUGGGCACCACUGGGUCAGAGCACAUUCCUGCUGGGCCCUGCCCGCCUCUUGAGAGUGGAAAUCUCAUGGACCAUCAGCAUUCCCCAGCCUCCGCCAUGUGUCCCCACCCCAUGCCUCUGCCUCUGCGUGUGAAAUAAACUCGAGUCUUUUUUU